GAUGAACGCUGGCGGCGUGCUUAACACAUGCAAGUCGAACGAAGACAUCUGAGUGCUUGCACUUGGAUGGACUGAGUGGCGGACGGGUGAGUAACGCGUGGGUAACCUGCCUUAUACAGGGGGAUAACAGUUGGAAACGACUGCUAAUACCGCAUAAGCGCACGGUAUCGCAUGAUACAGUGUGAAAAACUCCGGUGGUAUAAGAUGGACCCGCGUCUGAUUAGCUUGUUGGUGAGGUAACGGCCCACCAAGGCGACGAUCAGUAGCCGGCCUGAGAGGGUGAACGGCCACAUUGGGACUGAGACACGGCCCAAACUCCUACGGGAGGCAGCAGUGGGGAAUAUUGCACAAUGGGGGAAACCCUGAUGCAGCGACGCCGCGUGAGUGAUGAAGUAUUUCGGUAUGUAAAACUCUAUCAGCAGGGAAGAUAAUGACGGUACCUGACUAAGAAGCACCGGCUAAAUACGUGCCAGCAG
rnacentral:rRNA from 1 species